GUUGUUGUGAAAAUAUGACAGGAAAUUAAAGUUCGUGUUUUGAUGCCGAAGUUUAACGAUUGUCACCUGUUUGUCAACAAUCAACAAAAAGCAUGGAUAUUGAGCACGUGUUUUACAUGUACAAUCAGAUAAUUAUAGUUUAUUUUAAGGACAUCCAUGCGUAUUGCGAUCACCGGAUUUUUACGAGAUGGGUCACACUGAGGUCACUUUGCAUACGGAAAAUAUGUC
rnacentral:lncRNA from 1 species